rnacentral:tRNA from 1 species
GCUUAGGUAGUAUACUCAUUACUUUGGUCUUGUAAACCAAAAAUGGAGAAUCUAUUCUCCCCAAAGC